GACGAACGCUGGCGGCGUGCUUAACACAUGCAAGUCGAACGGAAAGGCCCUGCUUUUGUGGGGUGCUCGAGUGGCGAACGGGUGAGUAACACGUGAGUAACCUGCCCUUGACUUUAGGAUAACUUCAGGAAACUGGGGCUAAUACCGGAUAGGAGCUCCUGCUGCAUGGUGGGGGUGUUGGAAAGUUUCGGCGGUUGGGGAUGGACUCGCGGCUUAUCAGCUUGUUGGUGGGGUAGUGGCUUACCAAGGCUUUGACGGGUAGCCGGCCUGAGAGGGUGACCGGCCACAUUGGGACUGAGAUACGGCCCAGACUCCUACGGGAGGCAGCAGUGGGGAAUAUUGCACAAUGGGCGGAAGCCUGAUGCAGCAACGCCGCGUGCGGGAUGACGGCCUUCGGGUUGUAAACCGCUUUCGCCUGUGACGAAGCGUGAGUGACGGUAAUGGGUAAAGAAGCACCGGCUAACUACGUG
rnacentral:rRNA from 1 species